AGCAGCCGCGGUAAUUCCAGCUCCAAUAGCGUAUAUUAAAGUUGUUGCAGUUAAAAAGCUCGUAGUUGAAUUUCGGGAUUGACGUGAUGGUCGUGCCUUACGGGGUAUGAACUGUUGCAGUCAAUUUCUCACCUUCUGGAGAAAUAUGAUGUCCUUAAUUGGGUGUCAUAUGGAACCAGAACUUUUACCUUGAAAAAAUUAGAGUGUUUAAAGCAGGCUUAUUGCUCGAAUACAUUAGCAUGGAAUAAUAAAAUAGGACGGCAUGGUUCUAUUUUGUUGGUUUCUAGGAUCACCGUAAUGAUUAAUAGGGAUAGUUGGGGGCAUUAGUAUUCAAUUGUCAGAGGUGAAAUUCUUGGAUUUAUUGAAGACUAACUACUGCGAAAGCAUUUGCCAAGGAUGUUUUCAUUAAUCAAGAACGAAAGUUAGGGGAUCGAAGACGAUCAGAUACCGUCGUAGUCUUAACCAUAAACUAUGCCGACUAGGAAUCAGACGAUGUUAAUUUUUUAAUGACUCGUUUGGC
rnacentral:misc_RNA from 2 species